CAGCUCAUCGGCCACCUCGGGGGCCAUGUCUGCCAGGCACGCCUGCUGAAGAGCAGUGCGCAGGGCUGCAUUCUCCUGCUUGAGCUGUUCAAGCUCCACAUUUGUGUCGGUUGUACCUUUUGAAGGCGCCGCCGGCUCUGGCAUUCUCUGCCUGCAAUUUGAGAAACGGGUAUUCUUCUCACACAAUGCACAACUCAACCAGAUGCCCCAGGCAUUGUCACAGCAGCGCGUUGAAUGGGUGCAUAUGAAUCCAAUUUUGCGAAAGCAAAGCAUGUCGAAUUUCUCACUGCGAAGGAUCCUCUGAGGUGUUGAAUUCAUGGCACAACAGGCUGUCGUUCUGGAGUACUGGAAAGAGGUAUUUGUCAUCGUCCCAAGGCUUCUCAGGAGUGCUCAAUGCCGCUGCAAGGUCGCUGCGUGGAUCGUGUUUCUGCUCAACAGCUGCUCUUAUGAAGUUGACACAUUUGAUGACGCCGUAAUCAUCCA
rnacentral:lncRNA from 1 species